rnacentral:rRNA from 1 species
AAUAGAUACCCGGUAGUCCACGCCGUAAACGAUGAGUGCUAAGUGUUAGAGGGCUUCCACCCUUUAGUGCUGCAGCUAACGCAUUAAGCACUCCGCCUGGGGAGUACGGCCGCAAGGCUGAAACUCAAAGGAAUUGACGGGGGCCCGCACAAGCGGUGGAGCAUGUGGUUUAAUUCGAAGCAACGCGAAGAACCUUACCAGGUCUUGACAUCCUUCGCUACCUCUAGAGAUAGAGGGUUCCCCUUCGGGGGACGGAGUGACAGGUGGUGCAUGGUUGUCGUCAGCUCGUGUCGUGAGAUGUUGGGUUAAGUCCCGCAACGAGCGCAACCCUUGACCUUAGUUGCCAGCAUUCAGUUGGGCACUCUAAGGUGACUGCCGGUGACAAACCGGAGGAAGGUGGGGAUGACGUCAAAUCAUCAUGCCCCUUAUGACCUGGGCUACACACGUGCUACAAUGGAUGGUACAAAGGGUCGCGAAACCGCGAGGUGGAGCCAAUCCCAAAAAACCCAUUCUCAGUUCGGAUUGCAGG